ACAGCCUUUAUGCACCACAAAACAAAGAUCUGGUUUCUACUGAGGCACUGCAGAAAGGAUGAGCAUCUGCUGACUUGUUGAUCUUCUGAAAACUGGGGCUCUCCAAGAUCAUAGGUGAACCAGUCUGGGAUCAUUUCACUGAAGACUGAGGUUUCACCUACUGGGUCUCAUCUUUACUUCUUAAAAUGAGCAAACCUUAGUGGGCCUUCUCAGGGUCUCUCCAGGUGUUUGCAUAAGGGAUGCAGAUGCUGCUUCCCAAUGUGGGCUAUGUCUCACCCUCUCAUGGAUUUCAAGCACUGUGCUGCUUGGCGUUCCCCUUUCUCCUUGCAAGGCCAUCUCCAAAGUUGUAGAUGUUGGAACUCAAUUUAUCCAUAAGCUGGGGAGGACCUGAACUGGCUUCAGCUGUUCUGAAAGACAGAAGAAGCAGCACAACAGCUCAAACAAAAAUGGAACAUUCAAGGAGAAGCUUCAGGAACCAGUAUCCUAGGCAACGAGCCAAAAUGUAGGUCUGAGGAAACCUUUGUGUCACCCUCUUCUUGGAACUUUCUUCCAGAUCUUCGUUGUUGUACUGGAUCCAGCCCUUUCCAGAUAAUCAGGUUACCAGGACCCAUGAUGCUGCUAUGAAAGACGACUGACUUCAAGACCUUUGAGAAAGAAAAUAAAAAUUUCCAAUUCUGUGGCUAAGAGGUUCCUUUAGCCACACAACUAGGAGGACACUUAAACAUCUCCUAAAUAUUUAUGGACUUCAAAGUCACUGAAAUGCUCUGUGAUUCUCUUACUGUUAUUAUUUUAUUGCCAGAAGAUAGAGGCAAUGAGAGGUGAAGUGUCUUGCAAUGCUGCACCAAGCCAAACAGAGAAAUCAUAAUAACAGAAACACAUUUGUCUGGCGGAGUGAACAGAAGAAAUGUUGCAGAAAUGAGAUACGAAGAACCUCACUGUAGAGUAGAAGAACUGUCAUUCUGAUUGUUUGCCAUUAUUGUUUCAUGUCCAGUUAAGUGAACUUAAAGUGACAGUUGUGUCAUAACUCCUGACAUCUAUGUAAAUUUCAAAUCAAAUACGAUAGAGGCAUUUCUGCCAGACACAAGUCACCAGGCUGCUCUUCCUCUUCAUUUUUGUAACCCUCCAUUUUCUCAUGCCAUUGCUGGUAGCCCUUAAAUUAAAAAGACAACUUCAACAGGGGAUCUGUGUGAUGUGUGUGUUUCAGUGCUCAGCCUAUACCUUGCUUUCUCUCAGCUUUUUGAAACAACGCCCAGUGUCAAAUUUUGACCAGAAACAGUCACCACAAACAUCCAGAUGGAUUAGCUAAAACUGUGCCUUCCCAUGAGUGAUGUAUCACAACAACACCCUAUGAAGUCUUAGGUUGAGAAUGUCCCCUGAAGACCUACAGAGAAAACACCUUGAGCAAAUGCUCCUCCACUGGUUCACUACGCCCCAAGCCAACUACCACAGAGGACUUGUCUGGGGGAAUUGAUCUUUUUUGUACUGUAAAUUUAAAGUAGCUCAGUGGCUACUUUUAUCUCUAAAUUGGGCUUUCCAAACAGCACCAAAUUGUGAUGUCCCUCCCUCCUAUUUGUUAAGUACUGUCUACUGCUAAGAAAAGAAUGCUAAGAGUGAAUCCAUCCAGGAUUCUUCCCAGCUUCUGCCAGGAUGUGACUCCACCAUAUCACUGGAUAUCCAACUUAAAUACUUAAUCCAGUCACAUUUUUAAAUUGAUUGAGGCCUGAACCAGAAGAUCCUAUGUGAGUAAAAGGAUGCAUUACUUUAA